AUUGAACGCUGGCGGCAGGCCUAACACAUGCAAGUCGAACGGUAGCACAGGAGAGCUUGCUCUUCGGGUGACGAGUGGCGGACGGGUGAGUAAUGCAUGGGGAGCUGCCCAAUCGAGGGGGAUACCAGCUGGAAACGGCUGCUAAUACCGCAUACGCCCUGAGGGGGAAAGGUGGGGACCUUCGGGCCUACCGCGAUUGGAUGCACCCAUGUGGGAUUAGCUAGUUGGUGGGGUAACGGCUCACCAAGGCGACGAUCUCUAGCUGGUCUGAGAGGAUGACCAGCCACACUGGAACUGGGACACGGUCCAGACUCCUACGGGAGGCAGCAGUGGGGAAUAUUGCACAAUGGGGGAACCCUGAUGCAGCCAUGCCGCGUGUGUGAAGAAGGCCUUCGGGUUGUAAAGCACUUUCAGUGGGGAGGAAGGGGAGUAAGUUAAUACCUUACUUCAUUGACGUUACCCACAGAAGAAGCACCGGCUAACUCCGUGCCAGCAGCCGCGGUAA
rnacentral:rRNA from 1 species